GACUCAUCCAGAGCAGCGGAGGGAUCGGCCCGAUGAAGCUGCGGCAACCAUGACGAUGUCAAACGGUGCCAAUUCCUUUAGGCAAUGCCCUAUAAGAUGAGAG
rnacentral:ncRNA from 2 species